rnacentral:rRNA from 1 species
GCCCAGACUCCUACGGGAGGCAGCAGUGGGGAAUAUUGCACAAUGGGGGAAACCCUGAUGCAGCGACGCCGCGUGAGUGAAGAAGUAUUUCGGUAUGUAAAGCUCUAUCAGCAGGGAAGAAAAAAGACGGUACCUGACUAAGAAGCCCCGGCUAACUACGUGCCAGCAGCCGCGGUAAUACGUAGGGGGCAAGCGUUAUCCGGAUUUACUGGGUGGAAAGGGAGCGUAGACGGUAUGGCAAGUCUGAAGUGAAAGCCCAGGGCUUAACCCUGGGACUGCUUUGGAAACUGUUAGACUAGAGUGCUGGAGAGGUAAGUGGAAUUCCUAGUGUAGCGGUGAAAUGCGUAGAUAUUAGGAGGAACACCAGUGGCGAAGGCGGCUUACUGGGCAGUAACUGACGUUGAGGCUCGAAAGCGUGGG